AUUGAACGCUGGCGGCAUGCCUUACACAUGCAAGUCGAACGGCAGCACGGGUGCUUGCACCUGGUGGCGAGUGGCGAACGGGUGAGUAAUACAUCGGAACAUGUCCUGUAGUGGGGGAUAGCCCGGCGAAAGCCGGAUUAAUACCGCAUACGAUCUACGGAUGAAAGCGGGGGACCUUCGGGCCUCGCGCUAUAGGGUUGGCCGAUGGCUGAUUAGCUAGUUGGUGGGGUAAAGGCCUACCAAGGCGACGAUCAGUAGCUGGUCUGAGAGGACGACCAGCCACACUGGGACUGAGACACGGCCCAGACUCCUACGGGAGGCAGCAGUGGGGAAUUUUGGACAAUGGGCGAAAGCCUGAUCCAGCAAUGCUGCGUGUGUGAAGAAGGCCUUCGGGUUGUAAAGCACUUUUGUCCGGAAAGAAAUCCUUGGCCCUAAUACGGUCGGGGGAUGACGGUACCGGAAGAAUAAGCACCGGCUAACUACGUG
rnacentral:rRNA from 1 species